rnacentral:rRNA from 1 species
UAAUACGGAGGGUGCAAGCGUUGUUCGGAAUUAUUGGGCGUAAAGCGGAUGUAGGCGGUCUGUUAAGUCGGAUGUGAAAUCCCUGGGCUCAACCCAGGAACUGCAUUCGAUACUGGCAAACUAGAGUCUCGGAGGGGGUGGCGGAAUUCCCGGUGUAGAGGUGAAAUUCGUAGAUAUCGGGAGGAACACCAGUGGCGAAGGCGGCCACCUGGACGAUGACUGACGCUCAGAUCCGAAAGUGUGGGGAGCAAACAGGAUUAGAUACCCUGGUAGUCCACACCGUAAACGUUGGGUGCUCGUCGUAGCGGGUAUUGACCCCUGCUGUGACCAAGCUAACGCAUGAAGCACCCCGCCUGGGGAGUACGGUCGCAAGACUA